GACGAACGCUGGCGGCGUGCUUAACACAUGCAAGUCGAGCGGAAAGGCCCUGCUUUUGUGGGGUGCUCGAGUGGCGAACGGGUGAGUAACACGUGAGUAACCUGCCCUUGACUUUGGGAUAACUUCAGGAAACUGGGGCUAAUACCGGAUAGGAGCUCCUGCUGCAUGGUGGGGGUUGGAAAGUUUCGGCGGUUGGGGAUGGACUCGCGGCUUAUCAGCUUGUUGGUGGGUAGUGGCUUACCAAGGCUUUGACGGGUAGCCGGCCUGAGAGGGUGACCGGCCACAUUGGGACUGAGAUACGGCCCAGACUCCUACGGGAGGCAGCAGUGGGGAAUAUUGCACAAUGGGCGGAAGCCUGAUGCAGCAACGCCGCGUGCGGGAUGACGGCCUUCGGGUUGUAAACCGCUUUCGCCUGUGACGAAGCGUGAGUGACGGUAAUGGGUAAAGAAGCACCGGCUAACUACGUG
rnacentral:rRNA from 1 species